rnacentral:lncRNA from 1 species
AUAUAUAUAUAUACACACACACACACAACACACACACACCCCUACACACACACACCCCUACACACACACACCCCUACACACACACACACACACACUCAAAGUAAGGCUAAUAAAAAACAUUAAAAUGACAAUGAAAUCAAUAUACUAAAUUCAUAUGCCAAUAGUAUCAGUAUUAUUCUAAUUGAACAUUUACUCAGAACAAAGGCCAAAAGACAGAUACAUGAUCAUACAGUUGGAUCAAAUAUAUUUGGAAAAAAGUACUUGUAACUCAUUGCAUCUGUGUUGAACAUGUACCGUCUUUUUCUCAUGUCAUUAUUUUCUAAAUAUUAUAAUAGCUAGUUACACAGCACUUACUUGUAUUAGGUAUUAUAAUCAUUUAGAGAUUAUUUCAGUUAUUCAGGAAGAUGUCCAUAAGUUAUAUGUAACUCCAUUUUACAUACAUUAUAUGUAACCCCAUAAGUUAUAUACUACCCCAUUUUAUAUAAGGACUUGAGUGCCUGUUGAUUUUGGUAUCUUAGAGGUUCUAAAACCAAUAUGAAACCUGCAGAUACCAAAGAAUGACUAUAUAAUUCCUCUGCUGACAAAACAAAGCACUCUUUUAGCAAAAAAUCUUCCUAAUAAAUUCUCUAAUAAAUUUGUCACAUGGAUGAAAAUACUGUCUACCUUACUUCAUAGAAAGUAGUCAAUAAAUAAAAUGAAUAAGGAAUUUUGUAUAUUUUUGCUUCUAAAAGUAAGCGUAGAAACAGCAACAGUGUAAUAACUUGUUGCUAAUAUUUGUGAGAACUGAACUAGGUGCUGUGCAAAAAAAUUUUAGCUCAUUUAUUCCACACAAACACUCC